rnacentral:rRNA from 1 species
UAGGGAAUCUUCGGCAAUGGGGGCAACCCUGACCGAGCAACGCCGCGUGAGUGAAGAAGGUUUUCGGAUCGUAAAGCUCUGUUGUAAGAGAAGAACGUGUGUGAGAGUGGAAAGUUCACACAGUGACGGUAACUUACCAGAAAGGGACGGCUAACUACGUGCCAGCAGCCGCGGUAAUACGUAGGUCCCGAGCGUUGUCCGGAUUUAUUGGGCGUAAAGCGCGCGCAGGCGGUUUAAUAAGUCUGAAGUUAAAGGCAGUGGCUUAACCAUUGUUCGCUUUGGAAACUGUUAAACUUGAGUGCAGAAGGGGAGAGUGGAAUUCCAUGUGUAGCGGUGAAAUGCGUAGAUAUAUGGAGGAACACCGGUGGCGAAAGCGGCUCUCUGGUCUGUAACUGACGCUGAGGCUCGAAAGCGUGGGGAGCAAACAGG